UGCCCUUUUGUACCUCCCUAACUUUUUACCUUAUUUCCACUAAGAAUGCUUUUUCUGUACUUGUCUCUCUGUCCAGCAGCAACUCAUUCUUUAAAGCCAGUUUUUCCUUCCUUUUAGUAUCUGUAGUACUUUCUAUAAAACUUAUUAUAGAACUGGUUACAGAGUAUUAUAGUAGCCAGUUUUAACCUUAAUUUCUUACUAGACUGAGUUAUUUGUUCGGCUAGGCGUUGUAGAAAUUGGAAACCAAAAUGAAGAGGAACUUUAGGAGUUUGCAAUCUAGUGGAAGACAUCCAAUUUUGGUGAGUUGGUGGGGGAUGAUAAUGGAAAGCUGUUAAAGAGAAUAUGCUUGCUGCAUGACCCAUUAAAACAGAAUUGUGACUGGAAAUGUUUAUAUGGUGUCUUAAAAUUAAUGAAUUUUAUUUGUUUGCAGGUGGCAGUGGGCCUGCAUCACAGGUUGCAGCAGAUGUUCUCAAUAUUUCUAUUAAAAUUUCCUUAUUUCCAUAUGCAAGAGGAGCCCCAGAGCUGCAUCCUUAUGGUAGCUACCAUGCCGUGAUGUAAGCUGCCAUUCACUGGGGAGCUUUGGCAAUAGAAUUGGCUAGAUCAGGAAGCCUAUGUCAACUAUGGAACAACAACUUGCAGCUCAUCUCUAUUGAUGAUACACUGCCUCUAGGACUGGGACAGAUAGCCACUGAGUACCUGCUUCAAAUCACCCUGCACGUUUUCUCUUUGGAAAGAUAAGCACUGGAGAACCAUCUCGUUACCUUCAGCAGAAAUGGAAACAAAUCAAGACAUUAAGAAUGCCGCAGUGGACAGCAGUUAUGCAAGGUUCAGCAGAGGAAGUUUUCAAGAUGGUGUGCCUCACUAGCCAGAAAUCAGAAAAGAUCGAAGCUAGCCUUUUCAUCUCAGCUGCUCCUUAAAUCAGUGCAACCCCUCCAAAUUAAUGUGAAUUGAAACUUGCAUUGCUUUUCAACUUAAUUGAAUACUUACUAUAUGUGAACCACUGCACAAAAUAGGGGAAGAAGAUGUGGGAGACAAAGAUGUGGAGCCUGUCUUCAAUAAAUUUACAGUUAGUUUCAGGGUACAUUGUUUUUCUUCUGCUGUUAAUUAGGUGUAUCCCCAAGACAAUAAAUACAUGAAUGGAAAAGUAUAUUCUGUGUUUUAAGUCUCUUUAAUAAAAAACAAAACAAAAUCCAAAAAAACUCCUAACAUGGCAACUCAGGACAUUUUAAUCCUUUUUUUUGUUGUUGGGCUUCUGAUAGGAUCCAUUUUAUUGAUUCCAUAAAUAUUUAGUAGACUUUAGACAUAUUAAUACAUUGUAGUUUGAGUUAAUUUGCAUUAAAUUCUGUUUUUUUCCCCUUAGGUAUAGAUUGUCUGUUGGAAAAAUAUAUUGCUUGUGGAUUUCUUGGGGAGUGGGAAGGUGAAUUAUACCUGUUGUCUCUACAGUCCACUACCUUCCACACCCUAGGGCAGUGGUCCCCAACCUUCUUGGCACCAGGGAUCAGUUUCCUGGAAGACAAUUUUUCUGUGGAUGGUGUGGGGAUGGUUUUGGGAUGGAACUGUUCCACCUCAGAUCAUCAGGCAUUAGUUAGGCUCUCAUAACGAGUGCGCAGCCUAGAUCCCUCACAUGCACAGUUCACAGUAGGGUUUGCGCUGCUAUGAGAAUCUAAGGCUGCCACUGAUCUGACAGGAGGCAGAACUCAGGUGGCAAUGCUUACUGGCCCACUGCUCACCUCUUGCUGUGCGGCCUGGUUCCUAAUAGGCCAUGGACCCCCACAGACGGGUACUAGUCUGCAGCCUGUGGACCCCAGCCCUAGGGGCCUGCCAUUCUGAGUGAGUUAUUAGCAUGAAGAAGAGGAAGAUCUGGAUCAAACGUGGGUGAUGGUACUCAGAGACCCAAGAUAGGAUAGGGAUGGAACAAAAUCCAUCUGGGCAACGGCUCUAUGAAAAUUUGGCUAAGUAAUUAUUUCAGUAUUCAUUGUAUUCAUUGUCCUUCGUGUUCCAUAAGUUAAAUGACUGUCUAAUUUUUCCAAAAAUUUAUUUCUGACUUGAGAAUAAGUGUGUCAUGAUUUUCCCAGUGUAAAGACACUGAUAUAACUGUAGAUACCAGACAUUUUAUGUAGUGUCUAUGACACAUUUUAGUAUGUAUGAGCCAACAAUAGACAUGUCUUUGUCUUGAGGAGUGUCCAUCUGAAUUGAAAAUGUGUCAGCUUUUUUUUAACAUCAUCAACAGACUUCUUAAUUAAGCUGCCAAUACAUACUGCCAAUAGCACUGUGUGCUGUCUGAGAAAUGCAUUGUGUAAGUGCUAUUUCCAUCUUAUUAAAUAAACAAUGUUGCUCUGUAUAAACUGGAUUUAAAGUGUUCUUUGAAUGAGGCAUUAUAUUGCUCCAUAAAUAAUGUGAUGUGAAUUCUCAUAUGAUCCCUUUUAACUUAAUUUCUAAAAAAAUAUUAUUUGCUCCUCAGUAAGGAAUAGCUCUAAUUGGACUGGUAACUUUAGUGAUAUGAUUUGUCUGUAACAGGCUGAAUCGCCCCACUCCCAAACUCCUGGUCGUGAUACUGGAUAUUUGUUAUGCCACUUUUAGUUUGCAUGAGGUAUCUUCCAGGAAGUAUUAGUUAUUAACUUGUGUUCUACUAAACUGUAGAUAUUUAUUUCCUGUUCUGGAAGAUUUCUUGGAGUGUCCAUCUGUGCAUUCCUGGUGCCUAGUGUAGUCUUGCUAAUGGAAUAGCACCUUUAUUGGUGCUACUUAGGGGUUGGUAGCUUACAAUCAAUCUACUUGGAACGUAUCCAAAUA
ensembl:lncRNA NR2F1-AS1 NR2F1 antisense RNA 1